rnacentral:rRNA from 1 species
UACGGAGGGUGCGAGCGUUGUCCGGAAUCACUGGGCGUAAAGGGCGCGUAGGUGGCGCGGCAAGUCAACGGUGAAAGCUCGACGCUCAACGUCGAGUCGGCCGUCGAUACUGCUGGGCUUGAGCACUGUAGAGGCAGAUGGAAUUCCGGGUGUAGCGGUGGAAUGCGUAGAGAUCCGGAAGAGCACCGGUGGCGAAGGCGGUCUGCUGGGCAGUAGCUGACACUGAGGCGCGACAGCGUGGGGAGCAAACAGG